GCAUGGCUGGGACUUGGGAGUGUGUGUGGAACCGUAGCUCAGCAUUCGUGUUGAAUGUCUAAAGAUUGGUCACUAAGGAAUGGUGCAAAAGUGCUAAACCUCUAGGUUUUUUUUUCCCCCCAUAGAAAGAGACUCUUUUCCUGGGGGUUAAAGAAGAGAGAUUUUGGUGGCCUGAAUUCUGACUAUGACAGCUCUGGGAUUCUGCUUGCUUGGAGUUCUAGUCACAACACAACAGGAAUUGACCCUCGUUGUCAGAUGGUAGAACAUACUACUGCCACUAUGGUGAACAGUCCUGAAGCUGAGUUUGAUUCCAGGGUCCAGCAACCCUAGGUGAAGAUACGAUGCUGAAAUAUGACUCUGUGCUCCUUUAAAGUCUUACAAGUAACCUGGCAGAAGGUCAAAGGAUAUUUUAAUAUACAGCAUUUCACCUACAGCAAGUUAAAUGGAAUGAAAAUCCUGGAACCUAUCAGGAAAAAAGUGUAUUUCAGUGCCAAAAGGUUGAAGGCAUCUUCCUAUUGCUCUCUGUGGGAUGAAGUAGAAAGACAAAGCACUGUGUCAGUGCUUCAAACAUACUUUCCUGCAUGAUGCUUUGAAAAAAGAAAGGUUCAUCACACCUCAAAGCAGCUGCUUCCCUUGGCUUGCUCACUACUUCCCAGGAGCAGGUGGCUCUCCAUCCUGUCAGCUCACAACACCCUAAGCAAUUGCCUUUUCCUGUCCACUUCAGAACAGAUGAGGCACUGAUAUAGACCAGGGCUCAUUUCUCUAAUGCUCCAGGACUUCAGGGGCUAUUUCAGAUAUUUUGGGAGAGGGAGAAGGCAAAUUGAACUGUGAUUUUGGACUUUCUGAGGCACCUGAAAAUUCUAGGAUUUUUUAGG